GCCACAGUGGCUCAGUGGGUAGAGCCCCAGCCUUGAAGUCAGGAGGAGCUGAGUUCAAAUCUGGUCUCAGGCA
rnacentral:tRNA from 1 species